rnacentral:rRNA from 1 species
UACGGGGGGUGCAAGCGUUAUUCGGAAUCAUUGGGCGUAAAGGGCGCGUAGGCGGUCUCUUAUGUCAGAUGUGAAAGCCCUCGGCUCAACCGAGGAAGUGCAUUUGAAACUGAGAGACUUGAGUAUGGGAGAGGGAAGCGGAAUUCCUGGUGUAGCGGUGAAAUGCGUAGAUAUCAGGAGGAAAAGCGGUGGCGAAGGCGGCUUCCUGGACCAAUACUGAAGCUGAGGCGCGAAGGCGUGGGGAGCAAACAGG